CUCCCAAGGAGGAAGGUUCUCUAUCUGGAGAUCACUCCUCUUGGAGUCCUUCUAUGAGCCCAGGACAUGGGUUGUCGCCUGGCAUGAUCAUGAAGCAGUAACAGAUCACUAACUAGUUCUUCCAAAAAACCAGGAAUGCCUCCAGCUGCUCCAUUGUUUUCUUGCCCUUUGUUGGUGCCUGAACCUGCCCCUGUCCCACACUGCCAGGCUCCCAGCUCAUCACCUUGAAAUGGCCUGAAGUCUCUGCAGCUUCCUGGCAGAGUCCCAGUACAUCUCCUGAGGCUCAUCCAAACCUGGGGGAAAAAGCAAAAGGAUGAAAAUAAACCACACUACAGAUUCCAGUCAGAUGUUCCCUUUUAAAUACAGGAUUGACAAAUAAUCAGUAUCAAAGCACAUCAGUGACCACAUUGUUCAGGCUUGCAUUUGGGAGUGCUUUCCAAUUAAAAGCAAAUCACUGAAUGAGACUUUCAAAUUGGUUUCGGUGAAGAAGAAGAAAUGAAGGGAAGCUACUUGAGAUCUGACAAUAGCUGAAGUGAUUUGUAAGCAUGAAGCAUGUGAGAUAACAUUUAAUUAACAGCAGCAAAAAUAGAACAUCGCUUUGAAUUUACGUACGUUCUCUUGUUCCAUGUAUGUGCAAUGCCCUUUCUUUAAGUUUCUCUUCUCACAAAACUGUAUUAACCCUCCAUUCCUGAAGAUAAUACUUCCCUCACAGGCUGUACAGCAUUUCUUACACUUUCAGAAAUUUCAUACUCACUUAGAGGGUUUGCCCCAGGCUGUAUCUCAAUCCAGCAUCAUUUUCCUUAAAGCUGUGAAAGUAACUGUGUAUCUGAUGUGACAAAUAAUCCUUAACAUUUGUUAAGACUGUGCACAAGUUGCUUAAUGACUUCUGGAUUUGAAACAUCUUUGUGAUUUUGCCAAGCAAUAUCUCCAGAGCACAUGCAAACCAGGUGAUGACCCUGGGUCCUCUGGUUAGUAGAGCCACACAAGGCAAGUUUUUGGCAGCUGAUCCAUUUUGAGUGUUAGCUCCAGGGAAGCCUGAACCACUGUUCCUGGGCACUGCUCCUCUUCACUGAACAACAAGCACAUCCUGACACUGCGGGUGGCUUCAGUCAUAGAGAUCAUUCAGUGUGUUUGAACUGGAGAAGGUGUUGUCUCAAAGCACACUUCCUGGGUCCCUGUGUUUGUAUACCCACUGCCUCUCCUGAACAUCACAUGAACAUGUACACAUGUCCCAGCAUCAUUCCAGUGGCCACUACAGACAGGAAACCUCUUCCCACCAUGGAGGCUGCAGCUUAUGCUGUGUGUUGUGAUGGCAUCCCUGUCUGCAUCUGUCCCAUAUCAGAAUGUCAACAUUAAGAUGCCACUGAAGUAACUGUGAUAGAAGUCAAGGAUGCCUUCUUCAGCAUCACUGGUAGACUGUCUCCAUUUACACUGAGACUGAGUAAGCUGCUGCUCACCAGAGACACCAUUACUGCACAUCUGUACAGGAACAGUCUUGUGCAGCUUUGAAGCCAGCACCCUCAGUUCUGCUGAGGUUCUCUCCAGCAAGGACAAGCCUGUGAGGCUGGAG
ensembl:lncRNA